AGAAAAGAAGUAGGGAGAGAGAAAGGAAUUUAUCCUUGAAAAUUGAUGCUGGCCCUUUAAUUCCUGCUUGUUCUGUCAGGAGGAAGAAUACAGAGCUAAAUCCAGCAGACCUUAUUUUGGCAAAACUCCCACUGAAGUCAGUGAGGGUUUUGUGAAAGUAAGGGCUGCAUGAUUUGUCUCACAGCUCCUGCUGAUUUUUUGGAAUAUGUUUCCUCUCCCCCCCCAAAAAAAGCGGAGCUCCUCAUCGAGUUUGACAUCACCACGGUGCUGUGGCUUACAGCGUUUUUCUGUCUGUAAACUAGAAUGAAGAUCAGUGUAAUGCAAUUGUGAGAAAUACCCUUUUCACCCAGUGACCUUGGAAUAAAACGGAUUGCCUCGGCAGUCUGGAGACUGCUACUGUGGAACUAACUGCACAGAGACACCGAGGAUUUGGAGAACCUAUUUUAAAUUCAUGCUGAGAAUUUAAAGAACUCUUUAAACAAGCUGGAAAUAGGUCAAAAUCUGAUUGUUAAAAAACAGCUACCCGAUUGCGUGUUGCCCAGACAGGUGGUACCUUGUGAUAAAAUUGUUGGUUUGUGUAACACUUCCUCACUGGAACACUGGCACGUCCAUGAAAAUUUCAAUUCUGUUUCCAUUACAGAUUGCAGUAGAGAAAGGCAGCUGAAGGGUUAACAGCGUUCCUUCAGCAGGAAACCUACCGCUGCAAAUGAUAACAUGGGGCACACAUUCAGACUGAGUUCUUUAUUUUUUUCACUUAAGUCUGGACAAAUACAGGGCCAACGAGAGAAACCAGAUCUGCAAGCAUGGGCGCUCCCCUCGUCUGCAGACAAGAUGACGGAGUAAGAGCUUCCCACACUCUGCUGUGUCAAUGUGUCAUGACCUUUCUCCCAAGGGGACACCUUUCAGUGACAGCACUUCAGUCUCCGUGGUCUUUCAGUCAUACAUCUGUCUGCCUUUGCGUGGAAGCUGGCUCCAGGCUUGCCAGACACUGCCAGAGUGGUGAUUUAGGAAUUGGACUGAUACUGCCAAAGCGCUCUGCAUAGGUCACUUGCUGAGGGCAGCCACAGGUAGCGAGCAGUGAGCUUUCAGCCACUGUUCAUCUGGGCCAGACAUGAAAUACUGACCUAAGGAGAAGCAGCUCUGUAGUUCGUUUCCAGUUCUUGAACAAGCAAGUCACUUGUCAAACAGAUUUUCUAUUGCUGAUGGGGGACUACACUAUCCGUAUUUGUUAAUUGAACAUCCUCAUUGUGAGGACAUUCUCUACACACUGAACUGUUGCGAAAUACUUCUGUUGUAUUGUAUUUUAUAACGGUCCAUGUGGAACUUGCCAGCAGCUCUAAGGACAGCUGAAGUCAACAUGACUAAAUAAUGCAAAAUUGCAGAAUACUGCAGUAGUUUUAUAGCUGGAAUACUUCCUCAUCCAGGUCUGGGUAAAGAUAAGGAGAAACCUUUUGAAACCAAACAAGCUGCCGCUCAUGAGUGACUGCUUGGAUCAGCAUUCCAACUGGAAGAAAUCUGGUAAGUGCUGGAGCCCCAAAUUUAG